AAGGGUAUAGAUCAAGUGGUAGAGCACAUGCUUAGCAUGCAUGAGGUCCUGAGUUCAAUUCCCAGUACCUCCA
rnacentral:tRNA from 1 species